GCCGGCAGCCAUAUCACCCUGUAGCCCAAGACUGGUCACCCACUGAAGCUAAGCAGGGUUGAGCCUGGUCAGUACCUGAAUGGGAGACCUCCUGGGAAAACUAGGUUGCUGCUAGAA
rnacentral:rRNA from 1 species